GUCUAUGGCCAUACCACCCUGAAUGUGCCCAGUCUCAUCUGGUCUCAAAAGCUAAGGAGAAUCGGGCCAGAUUAGUACUUGGAUGGGGGUCAGAUCUUCAGAAGAGACAGCUCAGAGACA
rnacentral:rRNA from 1 species